CGUAGGUAACCUGCCUGGUAGCGGGGGAUAACUAUUGGAAAUGAUAGCUAAUACCGCAUAAGAGUAGAUGUUGCAUGACAUUUACUUAAAAGGUGCAAUUGCAUCACUACCAGAUGGACCUGCGUUGUAUUAGCUAGUUGGUGGGGUAACGGCUCACCAAGGCGACGAUACAUAGCCGACCUGAGAGGGUGAUCGGCCACACUGGGACUGAGACACGGCCCAG
rnacentral:rRNA from 1 species